rnacentral:rRNA from 1 species
UCCUACGGGAGGCAGCAGUGGGGGAUAUUGCACAAUGGAGGAAACUCUGAUGCAGCGACGCCGCGUGAGGGAAGAAGGCCUUCGGGUUGUAAACCUCUGUCUUCGGGGACGAACAAAUGACGGUACCCGAGGAGGAAGCCACGGCUAACUACGUGCCAGCAGCCGCGGUAAU